rnacentral:rRNA from 1 species
GAUGAACGCUGGCGGCGUGCUUAACACAUGCAAGUCGAACGAUGAAGCCGGAGCUUGCUCUGGUGAAUUAGUGGCGAACGGGUGAGUAACACGUGAGUAACCUGCCCUUGACUCUGGGAUAACUGCGGGAAACUGUAGCUAAUACCGGAUACGACCCUCGGAGGCAUCUCCUGGGGGUGGAAAGAAUUUCGGUCAAGGAUGGACUCGCGGCCUAUCAGCUAGUUGGUGAGGUAAAGGCUCACCAAGGCGACGACGGGUAGCCGGCCUGAGAGGGGGACCGGCCACAAUGGGACUGAGACACGGGCCAGACUCCUACGGGAGGCAGCAGUGGGGAAUAAUGCACAAUGGGCGCAAGGCUGAUGCAGCAACGCCGCGUGAGGGAUGACGGCCUUCGGGUUGUAAACCUCUUUUAGUAGGGAAGAAGCGAAAGUGACGGUACCUGCAGAAAAAGCACCGGCUAACUACGUGCCAGCAGCCGCGGUAA